UUGCACGUAGCAUCGUUUCGGUGCAUUGUAUCGCCGAUUGUUGGGUUACGGUGACCUCUCUCGAAAUCGAUACCACGGUGAACAAGAAGAAGAAGACGACGAAGCUUGAGGUCUUAAAGCUGCUUCGUUGGCUUGAGAUGUAGUUGUAGUUGUAAUUGCGAGGGAUGGCCAGCGGGGCCGCCAUGGGUGAGAUUCCCGGCGUGAGAGAUGGCGCUGUGAAAGAUGGCGAAGGUGGGGAUGGGAAGGGUUCUGGUUUCGAUUUGCUGAAUUAUCUUGGAUUCGUGUGGGCUGAACUUUCUGCCACAGAGGUCAGUGGGAGCUUACUCGUCAAGCCAAAUUCCUCUCAAGUGAGUGGUCACUGAUGCAUUCAGUUCUCCUCGCGCCAUCCCCACAUUCAUGCUUCCAGAGAUCGAGUGUUGGCGUGUUCUCCGCUUUGUGCCCCGCGUGAUUCGUAUCGCCGUUUGGAGUCCUUCAUGGUGGCGUCACAGCGUUUCUGGCCGAAUCAUUGGCCAGCUUCGGAGCCGGAAUUGCUGCUCGCGAGUAUGCGGUCUCCGGGCUUGAGCUGUCAAUCAUUUGCAGUCUGCGCCCAUUGGUGCCGAGGACAGAGCUAAGGCGGUUCCACUCCGAGUAGGCAAAAAUGUUCAGGUCUGGGAUGUCAAAUUCACUACUUCCAAAUCAAGGGAUUCAUCACCAAAUGAAGCUCAAGAAUUCACAACCAUCGCGGUUGCACGUCUGAUUCUGAUUGUAGGACGACCUGCUCCGAUUAGAUUGCCCAAAGUUUUGGAGGAUCUGUUGGCUCUUUCUAGCAGAAGAAAAGCGGAAUCGGUGUCCCAUGUACCAAAGCUGUAGCAAAGAAUGUAACACGAUUUCACUUGAAGUGUAUCAUUCCAAACAGUUUCUCGUGUCAUCGUGAUGUGUACAACCAAUGCGCUGUAAAGAAAAUCCUUCAUAGGGAUGGCCCGAAUGAUGAAUCCUAA